GAUGAAGAACGUAGCGAAAUGCGAUACUUGGUGUGAAUUGCAGAAUCCCGUGAACCAUCGAGUCUUUGAACGCAAGUUGCGCCCGAAGCCGUCAGGCCGAGGGCACGCCUGCCUGGGCGUCACACGCCGUUGCCCCCCCGCGCCCCGCACCCAACGCUUUGGGAGCGACCGCGGGGCGGGCUGAUGAUGGCCUCCCGUGCGCUCCGCCGCGCGGUUGGCCCAAAUACCGAGUCCCCGGCGACGUGCGCCACGACGAUCGGUGGUUGAGAGACCUCUGUCGCAAGUCGUGCGCGCCCGUCGCGUCACGCGGGCUCGCAUAGCGCCUCGCGCCGCACCCGGUGCGGAGCUUUCAACGCGACCCCAGGUCAGGCGGGGUUACCCGCUGAAUUUAAGCAUAUCAAUAAGCGGAAGGA
rnacentral:misc_RNA from 1 species